rnacentral:rRNA from 1 species
GACGAACGCUGGCGGCGUGCCUAAUACAUGCAAGUAGAACGCUGAAGGAGGAGCUUGCUCUUCUGGAUGAGUUGCGAACGGGUAAGUAACGCGUAGGUAACCUGCCUGGUAGCGGGGGAUAACUAUUGGAAACGAUAGCUAAUACCGCAUAACAGUAGAUGUUGCAUGACAUUUGCUUAAAAGGUGCAAUUGCACCACUACCAGAUGGACCUGCGUUGUAUUAGCUAGUUGGUGGGGUAACGGCUCACCAAGGCGACGAUACAUAGCCGACCUGAGAGGGGGAUCGGCCACACUGGGACUGAGACACGGCCCAGACUCCUACGGGAGGCAGCAGUAGGGAAUCUUCGGCAAUGGACGGAAGUCUGACCGAGCAACGCCGCGUGAGUGAAGAAGGGUUUCGGAUCGUAAAGCUCUGUUGUAAGAGAAGAACGAGUGUGAGAGUGGAAAGUUCACACUGUGACGGUAUCUUACCAGAAAGGGACGGCUAACUACGUG